rnacentral:misc_RNA from 1 species
GAAAUGCGAUAAGUAAUGUUAAUUGCAGAAUUCAGUGAAUCAUCGAAUCUUUGAACGCACCUUGCGCUCCUUGGUAUUCCUUGGAGCAUGCCUGUUUGAGUAUCAUGAAAUCUUCAAAGUAAAUCUUUUGUUAACUCAAUUGGUUUCUACUUUGGUAUUGGAGGUCUUUGCAGCUUCACACCUGCUCCUCUUUGUUCAUUAGCUGGAUCUCAGUGUUAUGCUUGGUUCCACUCGGCGUGAUAAGUUAUCUAUCGCUGAGGACACUGUAAAAGGUGGCCAAGGUAAAUGCAGAUGAACCGCUUCUAAUAGUCCAUUGACUUGGACAAUACUUUUAUGAUCUGAUCUCAAAUCAGGUAGGACUACCCGCUGAACUUAAGC